GUGGGGAAUAUUGCGCAAUGGGCGGAAGCCUGACGCAGCGACGCCGCGUGGGGGAUGACGGCCUUCGGGUUGUAAACCUCUUUCGACCGGGACGAAGAGUGAUUGACGGUACCGGUAGAAGAAGCACCGGCCAACUACGUGCCAGCAGCCGCGGUAACACGUAGGGUGCGAGCGUUGUCCGGAAUUAUUGGGCGUAAAGAGCUCGUAGGCGGUGUGUCGCGUCGGCCGUGAAAACCUGGGGCUUAACUCUGGGCUUGCGGUCGAUACGGGCAUCACUGGAGUUCGGCAGGGGAGACUGGAAUUCCUGGUGUAGCGGUGAAAUGCGCAGAUAUCAGGAGGAACACCGGUGGCGAAGGCGGGUCUCUGGGCCGAUACUGACGCUGAGGAGCGAAAGCGUGGGGAGCGAACAGGAUUAGAUACCCUUGUAGUCC
rnacentral:rRNA from 1 species